CUAUACAAGAGAAAGACGAUCCAGACUGCAUAUCGUCGUUAGAAGAAUGCAGAAAACCAAUGAAAACAUCAGCUGUAUAGGGCAAAAGACGAACAAAUCGUUCCGUCUUUGAUUGUGACAGCAAGACAAUGCCAAAAAACCUGAACAACAAGACCAAUCCUCCUCCUUUUGCUUGUCUUUUGUUCUUAUGUAUCAAACAAAUUUUUGUUUUUCUUUCUUGUCUGACAGUCAUCGAUUGUUGUGGCUGUCCGAAUAAAACGGUGCAUGGGCCAUCACUGCAUCAAAAAAGAAAAAAAUGAAUAAGCCAUGGCCGGUCGUCCCAUCACGGGGCUUGGCGCAUCUUCCAUGUCGGGACUUUGGGGCGUCGCGGCGCCAGUCGGCCAUCACCUUUCAGCUAUGACCAGUGAAGCAACUGUACAGGCAACAUCGCGCCAAUUGAACAACAUCAAAUGGCUAAUAUAUGUGAGAAAUGGUUUAAUUUUUAAUUUUAUUUUUAGAGUGGAGGGGAUGAAAAUUAGCAGAAACAGCUGGAUUAAAUAAUUUAAUCGAUCAAUAGAACUCAAAAUAAUGAAAGGAAUUGGAGAAAUAAACGAUUUGGCAACCGACCACGAGAGAAGCUUACCUAACCUCCUGCACUUGCAUUAUGAUUUCUCAUUUUCUCUUCUACGGACAGACGACUCCACGUUUUGUCGCGUCAAUUUUAUUUUUCUAAAAUGUUAGUAUCUCAAAGAAGUGAGCUGAGCUAUUUUGAUAUGAAUCGUAAUAAACGUGAAUGGAUUACACCAAAACAGGUGUACCACUAGAAGCGUGUGUCUUUUCCUUUUGUUUUUCUGUUUUCGGGUUUUUCUGUUUUUGGCUACUGUGCUCGACUAUUAAUGGUGGACAUUCCAGCACACCCUGCAUCGAUGGAAUUGCUGCUUAAACAGAUGGAGGCAUCAUUGCAUCAUCAUCGGUCAAACUUCGUCUAAGUUGAGACAAGAGAGGCGCCAUGGCAAUUGGAUCAACCCGACACAUCUUUAUUCCUAAUGAAAUCCCAGCAACAUUUCACAUGCCCGUCAUCGUCUUAACUGUUCUGAUUGAUUUGCAGGCCAGCCGUCAAUGGGAAGACCUGGCAUUCGAGAACGACUGAUCAAUUUGACUGCUAGUCGCCGAUUACUUGUGCACGGGCAGUGCUGCUCGUGGGCAAUAAACGGAUUUGGAUCGAUCGAGAGAAUAGCGCCAACUCUCUCUACGCGUAAAUUGUAUAGGCGUCAACUCUCUCUGCUUUGUUUAGAAACGAGCUAUAAAUAUGGAGACAACUGCUAAAUGGCCUCUCUAUAUUUUCACUAGUCUCUCUAUAUAUGCGAGGAGAAAGAAGAACGAUGGCAGCACUAUAAAUCCCAUUACAUUCCAUUAGCAACUCUCACCCUCAUCUUUUUAUCAGGUGACUAAAAACUCUUUUAGCAAGACUGAAAAGAUUAACACCCAAUACAGCGAGAAAAUAUAUCGUUUGUAUUAUCAGAAAAGGAGCUGGAUUUUUAAAAAAGGGGGUUUACAGAAAAUGGACGAGAAAUAUGAUUGAAUUAGUUUCACUUUUUGAGGAUUCAUCAUGAACGGAUUCCAAAUGGUGUCAUAUUGAGCACGUGAUAUUGGCUAUUGUUGUACCAAACUACUUUUAUAUUGCACUAGUGCUCAUUUAUGGCUGAGAUGCACCGUUGCAUUGCGGCGUGGAAGAGGCAGGGAUCGAAUGGAUGGGUGCCGUCAUCGGUGGAAGGAAAUGAGCCCUGAGCUGAUCGCUCAACCGACCAACUUCUCCGUCUUCUUUUUCCAAAGAUCGCACCAGUUGUAAAAACUGCGCUGCACCUGCCGAAAGGAAGAAGCAAAUGUCAACUUGAAAAGUCAUCAAUAACUGCACACAAAAAAUGAGGGAUUCAUUGCGUCAGAUCGCCAUCGGUAAGUCGGGCCAACAAAAACAAAACUCGUUCGUUUGAAUUCUAAUCUACAUAAUAUGUCGGCAUCAUUGUCGGAUGAAGAAAAGGGAUUCUGCGAAAGGUAAAAGAUGUGAGGGACAAACAUUUCUGAGAUGCAUGUGAUCUCCUAUACAUCCACUAAGCCACAAUAAAGGACUGGUGAUGCUGAGGAAUGAGAGCAUCACUAACAAAAAUUUGCAUCUGUAUUCCAAAAUUGGGAGGGACACGAUAGUAACCUUCAACUUUUCACAGUCUUUGAAAAUAUGUUUGCCUACAUGUACCAAUCUAAUCUCUAUACAACUGCAUUUUGCAUUUUGUGUCCCUGACCUGGGAAAUUUUUCAUUCCCAAUGUUAAUGAUAAAUUGGCAUCUAACUGACAAACAUGCAUUAAACUUGGUAGUUUUUUUUCUUACCUUCGCCAUCUCCAGGAAAGCCAAAACGUUGAAUGACCUGAAGGACAAACAAAUUGGUUAUUGCAGCAAUUUAAAAAUAUUUAAGCAGAAACAGGAGAAGAAAGUAGCAAACCUCAAGCUGAAUCUGGGUGACUAUUGGGAAAACCUCCCUCAUGACUUUGACCAUGUCGGUGCCAGCAAGUUCUCUAGCACGGGCCAACCUCUCUGCAUUUCCUGGUUGGCUCAAAGCUGCCAAUAUAUCAGUGCAUGCUUCUGUUUUCAAGUUCAUUGGGUUUGAAAUGACAUCUUACAUGUGUAUUUUAUUUUAUUUUUUACAAUUAAAACGGUCUAACCUCUU